rnacentral:lncRNA from 1 species
UGAGUUGUACUUAAAAAAGCAGGAACAUGAAUAAGAUUCCUAGAUACUAAAUGUAUUUUCUAACUAUACAAAAAUGGUAAGAUUAUUCUUGGCGUCGUGAUACUAUUAACUUUAAUGUUUCGUUCAAUGCAAAAUUUGUAUCCCAAUAAAAAAAAAAAUAAGUGAGUAAUCCCAAAACUUUAACUUUAAAUAAGUUUUGUUACACUUUAAUAUAUCAUUCAACUCAACUUCUAUACCUUUUUCCUAUGCUUUAAAAACUUUUAUAUUUUUAUAUCAACGUACGGCUAAAUAAUUGCUCAGUUAAAGAACAAAAAAAAAUGAAAAAUACAGAAAAAUAAAAGUAGGAGAAUCAUAUUCCCACGCCAAC